CUUCGGACGUUGAGUAUAUAUGACGGAGAGUUUGAUCCUGGCUCAGAACGAACGCUGGCGGCGCGUUUUAAGCAUGCAAGUCGUGGGGUAGGGCACCUUCGGGUGCUUGAGACCGGCGGACGGGUGAGUAACACGUAGGUAAUCUAUCUGAGGGUUGGGGAUAGCCCAUGGAAACAUGGGGUAAAACCGAAUAAGACUUACCACACACAAGUGAGGUAAGGGAAAGGCGCUUAGGCGCUGCCCACGGAUGAGCCUGCGGCCCAUUAGUUAGUUGGUGGGGUAAAGGCCUACCAAGGCGACGAUGGGUAGCCGGCCUGAGAGGGUGAUCGGCCACACUGGGACUGAGACACGGCCCAGACUCCUACGGGAGGCAGCAGCUAAGAAUCUUCCGCAAUGGACGAAAGUCUGACGGAGCGACGCCGCGUGGGUGAUGAAGGCGGAAACGUUGUAAAGCCCUUUUCUCAGGGGAGAAUAAGGGGAGGAGGUAAUGCCUCCCUGAUGACAUGAACUGAGGAAUAAGCCCCGGCUAAUUACGUGCCAGCAGCCGCGGUAACACGUAAGGGGCAAGCGUUGUUCGGAAUUAUUGGGCGUAAAGGGCGUGUAGGCGGCCUUGUAAGCCUGGUGUGAAAGACCGCAGCUUAACUGCGGGAGCGCGCUGGGAACUAUGAGGCUGGAGUCUAAGAGGGGGAGCUGGAAUUCCAGGUGUAGGGGUGAAAUCUGUAGAUAUCUGGAAGAACACCGGAGGCGAAGGCGAGCUCCUGGCUAUAGACUGACGCUGAGGCGCGAAAGCGUGGGGAGCGAACAGGAUUAGAUACCCUGGUAGUCCACGCCGUAAACUUUGUGCACUGGGUGUUGGCCCUAAGGGGUCAGUACCGUAGCAAACGCGUUAAGUGCACCGCCUGGGGAGUAUGCUCGCAAGGGUGAAACUCAAAGGAAUUGACGGGGGCCCGCACAAGCGGUGGAGCAUGUGGUUUAAUUCGAUGAUACGCGAGGAACCUUACCAGGGCUUGACAUACAGGGGACGGUCGUAGAGAUACGGCUUCUCUUCGGAGCCGCUGUACAGGUGCUGCAUGGCUGUCGUCAGCUCGUGCUGUGAAGUGUUGGGUUAAGUCCCGCAACGAGCGCAACCAAUACGUUUAGUUGCCACCAGAUAACGCUGAGCACUCUAAAGGAACUGCCUAGGUUAUCUAGGAGGAAGGUGGGGACGACGUCAAGUCAUCAUGGCCUUUAUGUCCAGUGC
rnacentral:rRNA from 1 species